rnacentral:rRNA from 1 species
UACGUAGGGUGCAAGCGUUAUCCGGAAUUAUUGGGCGUAAAGAGCUCGUAGGCGGUUUGUCGCGUCUGCUGUGAAAACUGGAGGCUCAACCUCCAGCCUGCAGUGGGUACGGGCAAACUAGAGUGCGGUAGGGGAGAUUGGAAUUCCUGGUGUAGCGGUGGAAUGCGCAGAUAUCAGGAAGAACACCCGUGGCGAAGGCGGCUCUCUGGGACGGUACUGACGCUGAGACGCGAAAAGCGUGGGGAGCGAACAGG